rnacentral:rRNA from 1 species
UACGAAGGGGGCUAGCGUUGCUCGGAAUCACUGGGCGUAAAGGGUGCGUGGGCGGGUCUUUAAGUCAGGGGUGAAAUCCUGGAGCUCAACUCCAGAACUGCCUUUGAUACUGGCGAUCUUGAGUCCGGGAGAGGUGAGUGGAACUGCGAGUGUAGAGGUGAAAUUCGUAGAUAUUCGCAAGAACACCAGUGGCGAAGGCGGCUCACUGGCCCGGUACUGACGCUGAGGUGCGAAAGCGUGGGGAGCAAACAGG